AAACUUAGUCAUAUGGUCUAUGCAUUUAACAACAACCAUAUGUGUCAAAGUUGUAUAUAUUAUUUUUUUUUAUUAUAAAAUAUAUGCAAAGUUUUAUUACAGAAAAAGAACGACAACUCUUGAAGCCUUACUUAAAAUUGAACCACUUUAAAUAACGCAACGUGAAUUGUUCACUAUUAGAAUAAAACGCCUUUUUUAUGAAAACGUAUUAAUUUUAUAAUGUACUUUUACAUGUACAAAGUAAAAUGCUUUGAACGCAUAUGGCUAUGUUCAUAUUAUAAUCGGAAUUUAAUUAUUUAUCUAAUUUAGCGCGAAGUCAUGGACGGUAAUUAAGGUCAUCAACUAAGAUUAAUUUGAAUUUGUUUAUAUAUAGGCAACGCACUUUGUUUAGUUUUUGAAACACUUUGAAAUUCUUUGUCUUCCAUGAGUCUAUAUUCGUAUACUUUUAUAUACAUGUGUAUGUAGUUUACUUGCAUAAAUCAAAUUGAUGCAUAUUAUUUAUCUUUGUUGAAAUGUUGACGUGUAUUUAUAGAAGACAAGAUUACAUUUUAUCUUUUACAUUAAUGUACAUUCCAAACUAAAGAGUGAUGUGAAAUAAAAUACUUGUAAAUUUU
rnacentral:misc_RNA from 1 species